rnacentral:lncRNA from 1 species
UUAACUCCACUUUAAAAAAAAAAUCUUUUAGGGGACAUACACAAGAAAACAAGACUCUAAUGAGUUAGAAUUUCAGUGAAGGAGAGAAUCCCUACAAAGAGAAGGCGUCUGAUGACUUCCUGACAUGGAUGCUACGAAAAUCCAAUGGAGAAUUUUAUUCAGGAACAAGUCUUCUAACAACGCAGAAAAAUGUUGUUCAACAUCCCCACCUACUGGUAACUCUACAGAAUAAUGUAUUACAAUUACUGAAAGAACUGAAAAUCGCUAGUUUUCCAAGAAAUACAUUACUACUACUAAUGACAAUGAUUAACGUGCACUGAGCACUUAUUUGGUUUGGAGAACUUUUCAGAGCUUUAUGAAAUGAUAAAUCACAGAAUAAUAAAAUAGUUUUUGGAUCGAGUCAGUCUAUCCUAAGGAAGAAAUAAUUUUCAGCAUUAUCACCGGGCAAGAGAACAAAUCAUUGCCCCAGUCCAAAGCAGGAUCUUGGGUCCACGCUGUCUUAAGUGCAGAAGGCUGCCAUGGCCUCCUAAACUGCCCCUCUGCCCUGGGUUUCCCCUCAGGCCUGUCCACUCUGCACUUUGACACAAAUUUUCUCAUGGUGAUCAAACACAAAGAAAGGAUUUAUGUUUUGAAUAAGCUCCCCCCCACCAAAAAAAAAAAAAAAAAUCUGAAAAAAAAUGAGCAGAGACAAUAGUCUUAAAAUGAAGUCUUUCAAUGGAUGGGAUUGGACCUGUGAGAGAAAAGGAUGCAAUGAUGAAGCCCAGAGACAACAGGGCAGGAAGUAUUUGACUUGUAAAUUUGAUUUGACAAAAUGUGUGAUGAUGUCAAAGCAGAUUCCCUACCCUGAUUAGAUAAAGUUCUCGUAGGCUAGGCUGAGGGAAGCCGAAGAUGGGGCAAGUUUGUGAUCUAGACAAUGAGAUCCUAAACCUGAGCUUGAAGCUGGUAUUACAAGUAUUUAGGGAAGGAAGGAGUGUGGUUUUUUGUUGUUGUUGUUGGUUUUUUUAAUAAGUGGAGGAUUGAUUCUUCUCCUACCCACUUAAGCCCCCAUGUUGCAUCAUAAAUGAAACAAGAUGGGAUUGGGAGGGAGACAAACCAUAAAUGACUCUUAAUCUCACAAAACAAACUGAGGGUUGCUGGGGGGAGGGGGUUUGGGAGAAGGGGGUGGGAUUAUGGACAUUGGGGAGGGUAUGUGCUUUGGUGAGUGCUGUGAAGUGUGUAAACCUGGUGAUUCACAGACCUGUACCCCUGGGGAUAAAAAUAUAUGUUUAUAAAAAA